UGGGGAAUCUUGGACAAUGGGCGCAAGCCUGAUCCAGCCAUGCCGCGUGAGUGAUGAAGGCCUUAGGGUUGUAAAGCUCUUUUGCCGGGGACGAUAAUGACGGUACCCGGAGAAUAAGUCCCGGCUAACUUCGUGCCAGCAGCCGCGGUAAUACGAAGGGGGCUAGCGUUGUUCGGAUUUACUGGGCGUAAAGCGCGUGUAGGCGGAUUUGUAAGUUGGGGGUGAAAUCCCGAGGCUCAACCUCGGAACUGCCUCCAAAACUACAAGUCUGGACCUAAGUAGAGGCAAGUGGAAUUGCGAGUGUAGAGGUGAAAUUCGUAGAUAUUCGCAGGAACACCAGUGGCGAAGGCGACUUGCUGGACUUAUGGUGACGCUGAGACGCGAAAGCGUGGGGAGCAAACAGGAUUAGAUACCCCAGUAGUCCCUGAGCGGGCUGGCAAGGCGCAU
rnacentral:rRNA from 1 species